rnacentral:lncRNA from 1 species
UUGCGAAGCCAAACGCGGGCGCGAGCCCCAAUUUCCCCAAAUCCAGAUCCCCUCCCCCCUUCAUUCUCCGGCGACCGUAGCAGCUAGUGAAGCCAGCCACAACCGCCGCACGCCCCAAAUUCUCCCCUUUACCCUGCUCCGAAUGAAACGACAACCGAGCCGCCACCGCCGAGCCCUAGAUCUAGACACCUCUCUUCAGGGACGGAGCCAGGAAUUAAGUUCGGGGGGGCUGAACUUGUACGCCCCCGAGAAUUUUUUUUUUUGGGCAUUCUGUAUAUUUAAGGUAUUUUUUUAUUAAAAUACGAGCAUAAUACUAAUAAUAACGAACAAUAUUUUCAUAGAUUAUAUAGUUUCAAUAUAUCACAAAACGUUUUUUGGACAUUCCGUAUAUUUAAGACAUUUUUUAUUAAAAGGCAAGCAUAAUAAUAAUAAUAACAAACAACAUGNAAUAUUUCAUAGAUUAUAUAGUUUUAAAUAACAAAAUUAUCCUUAAAUUAAGUAUAUAUGAGAGAAUAUAAUAACCAAAUACUCUUUAAUAAAACAAAAUUAAAUUUAUUAAUAAGUAGUAAAAAUAUAUAUAUAUAUAAUUAAUUAAAAUAAAAAAAAAAAAACUCAAAAUUUGGGAGGGGGCUCUAGCCCCCCCUAGCCCCCCUGGCUCCGUCCCUGCCUCCCUUAUAUCUCUCUUCAAUCCUCGGCGACGGCACGGCCAGAAGACCGCUGCCGCCGGUUCACACAGCCCCGAGUUCUCUCUCUAUUUUCUCUCCUUUAUUCAACCUUGGCAGAUAGCAGCAGCUUAUCAAGCCCGCGCAGCCGAGGACCCUCUCUAGACUCGGCUCACACACCCAACAUACAUAUCAAGCCCGCGCAGUGACACGACUCAGACAACAUAGCAGGCUCAAGACUCUUCUUUUAUUCAUUCAUUCAUGCUUAUUUACACGUAUGUACAACUUAUAUUGGUUUUAGAAUGUAUGCAAUUGUUGCUCAUGUCUAUAUUACAAUUUCGCAUAUGAAUGGGGC